rnacentral:rRNA from 1 species
AACGAACGCUGGCGGCAUGCCUAACACAUGCAAGUCGAACGAGACCUUCGGGUCUAGUGGCGCACGGGUGCGUAACGCGUGGGAACCUGCCCUUAGGUUCGGAAUAACUCCCCGAAAGGGGUGCUAAUACCGGAUAAUGUCUUCGGACCAAAGAUUUAUCGACUUUGGAUGGGCCCGCGUUGGAUUAGCUAGUUGGGAGGGUAAAAGCCUACCAAGGCGACGAUCCAUAGCGGGUCUGAGAGGAUGAUCAGCCACACUGGGACUGAGAAACGGCACAGACUCCUACGCGAGGCAGCAGUGGGGAAUAUUGGCCAAUGGGCGAAAGCCUGAUCCAGCAAUGCCGCGUGAGUGCUGAAGGCCUUAGGGUUGUACAGCUCUUUUACCCGGGAUGAUAAUGACAGUACCGGGAGAAUAAGCUCCGGCUAACUCCGUG